GGACGUUUGCGUGUUGCGGCAAAAAAUUACUUCGGGGGUGAAGCACUCAAAAUGAAUCAAUACAACGAAUCUAAUAUAGCAUUUAAAAAACAAGCACUUGCCGAGUUUGGCUACAUCGAGGCUCAAUGCAGGAAAAAAAGGACAUUCAGAGAGGCCAGAUAGCAGGAAAAGUAGAGCACAACUACCAAAUGUCAGGAACCUGUGUGCAUGUGUGUGUGUGUGUGAGUAACACAUCUUCUCUAGCGAGGAUCUUGGUGAGGAGCCAGGGCAGUCAACACAGGUGGAGAUCAUCAGCCUCAUCAGGGGUUGGGAAUAAAGGAGCUGCAGAUUCUUCAAUCAGUGCUGGAGGAUUAACGCUACCGGUAGUCUCUCUGGCUCUCGCUGUCUGCUAGUUUUAGCUUAUGUUUAGUCUCUCGAGCUUUGCUAUCUGAGUUUCAUAUCCUUGUGCUGCUGUCUUCAGGUUUCAUCAAGGAGAUUACCAAGGAGUUGUCCAUCUGUUUUCACCUUCCAAGUCUCUCACCUGCGAAGAAUCUGCCUGCCUGCUCUGUCCAUUCCCAGCCAUCAUUUAACGCCUUCUGGACCUUUGGCUCACAUUACCCUCACCAAACUCCACACGGGUUUCAGGACAACCUUCCCCCCACAGUUCACCAGAACUGUCAUACGAGUGCCGCCGUUUGUGGAUCACUUCCAUUAUCCAGAGACGCUACGUGGACCUGUCAUUGUGUUUGAUCUUUUGUUAAUAAAUCCCUUUUCCUAGACUUGGACUUGUUGAGUCUGCAUGUGGGUCAAAAGAUUAGAGUCGAUCAUGUAAAAAAGUG